rnacentral:rRNA from 1 species
AUUGAACGCUGGCGGCAGGCCUAACACAUGCAAGUCGAACGGUAACAGGAAGCAGCUUGCUGCUUUGCUGACGAGUGGCGGACGGGUGAGUAAUGUCUGGGAAACUGCCCGAUGGAGGGGGAUAACUACUGGAAACGGUAGCUAAUACCGCAUAACGUCGCAAGACCAAAGAGGGGGACCUUAGGGCCUCUUGCCAUCGGAUGUGCCCAGAUGGGAUUAGCUAGUAGGUGGGGUAACGGCUCACCUAGGCGACGAUCCCUAGCUGGUCUGAGAGGAUGACCCGCCACACUGGAACUGAGACACGGUCCAGACUCCUACGGGGGGCAGCAGUGGGGAAUGUUGCACAAUGGGCGCAAGCCUGAUGCAGCCAUGCCGCGUGUAUGAAGAAGGCCUUCGGGUUGUAGAGUACUUUCUGCGGGGAGGAAGGAAGUAGAGUUAAUACCUUUGCUCAUUGACGUUACCCGCAGAAGAAGCACCGGCUAACUCCGUG